rnacentral:rRNA from 1 species
AUUGAACGCUGGCGGCAGGCCUAACACAUGCAAGUCGAGCGGAUGAUGGGAGGUUGCUCCUGGAUGCGGCUGCGGACGGGUGAGUAAUGCCUAUGAAUCUGCCUGGUUGUGGGGAAUAACGUCCGUAAACGGGCGCUACUACCGGGUACAGCCUUAUCGGGGAAGUGUUGGAUCUUGUUACCUCACGCUAUCAGAUGAGCCUAGGUCGGAUUAGCCAGUUGGUGAGGUAAAGGCCUAACAAGGCGACGAUCCGUAACUGGUCUCAGAGGAUGAUCAGUCACACUGGAACUGAGAAACGGUACACACUCCUACGGGAGGAAGCAGUGGGGAAUAUUGGACGAAGGGCGAAAGCCUGAUCUUGCCAUGCCGCGUGUGUGAAGAAGGUCUUCGGCUUGUAAAGUACUUUAAGUUGGGAGGAAGGGAAGUAAGUUCAUACCUUGCUGUUUUGACGUUACCAACAGAAGAAGCACCGGCUAACUUCGUG